rnacentral:lncRNA from 1 species
UAUUAAGAGUUAGCUAAGUGUUGAGAGGAAGAAUUAUAUCUAAACAAAAAAUCUUUGAAGUUGUUUGGAUCAGUCUUGGCUCUUGCUCGUUUUGUCUUGUUCGUUCGAGUUUCUUCGAAUCGCGUUUCGGUGGAAGAACCGCUGCCCAUCUUAGCUCGUAGUCUUGGUUCACUGCUCUGAAACAGGUAAGCCCUUCCUCUUUCAGUUUUCUCUUUACAAAAUUUCAAGCUUCAUCUGCAUAUGUUUGAAGAUUUUCUCUGCAAUUUAUUGUCUUAAGAUUGGUUCUAUUAGUCCUUUCUUUUCUUUCUUUUUCUUAGAUUCAAAAUCUUAAAUUUUAAAAUAAGGAUGCAGUUGUUGGAUGUUUUAUUUUUCCAACAGUAGAUUAUUAGUUGAUUUCCACAUAAUUUCUCACAUCUUAGAGGUAUUUUGAUUGAGGUUUUGUUAAUAUAUCUUUUUUUUCUAAAAUAUAUGAUCUAAAUAUGUCCCGUUAUGAUAUCGUCUCUGUCUUGAGUGGUUAUCUUGAAUGAAUUUUAUUAGUCCUCUAUCAGUUAUGGAUACUAAAUGUUUGUUGUUAUUAUGAAAUAUAUUGAACAAUAGUAUUAUAUUUGUUGGUUCUAGCACCUCAAUGACGACGCCCCUGGUUGUUGAUUUGUUUAGAGAGAUGUAACUUACUCAUGUUGCAGUGACAAGUUAAGCUUCGCUAAAUUCUUUUUUUUUACAUCUACACAGUGCUAAGGUUGCUUAAUUGUCAUCUUCUCGAUAGUUUGGUUUCAAUUGUCAUGUUCUCUACACUUUGGUUGGUCGAUUUGAGUUCCACAAUCUAAUCCUUCAAAACUUUUUAGCCUAGCUGGGUUUUGCUCUUCAUUAUUCAUGUUUGGGUUGCUCGACUCGAAGUCAUUCGGUUCAUUUCACUUGUCAUUGUUGGUAUCAUUUGAAAUAGGUGUAGGAGUCUAAAAAAUUAACCAAUAUGUUAGCUGUAUAUGGAAUUAUCUCAUUAUUUUCUGAGUGCAACCACUCGAUUUGAUCUUAUUGUUGUAUUUGAAUUACCUUUUAUUCUAAAAAUCCCACAAACCAGUUGUCAUGUUGAUAUGUUACUUAGUCCCUGCCAUAGCUUUUUUUUUAGAUCCAUAGCUACGUGUUGCUCUACGCCAUGAUUUUUGCUUCUUGUUUAAGUUUUCCUAGAUUCGUAGCAUGUCUCAAUAUCUAUAGUUUUGUCAAAGAAUGUCUCUAUCUUCAUUUAACUUUUCGAAAUUUCGAAAUGAUAGUUACGAUAAAAGUUUGAAAGUGCUUAACUGUGCCUUGCUGCUAGAAUAGAUAUGUAGGUGCUGAAAAAUUGUGAAUCAUGUUUUGUUAAAUGAUAAAUAUUUCACUUUCAUGAGAGCAUGUCUUGCACUAUUUUUUUUUAUUUUUUUUUUCAAAUUUCUCAAAGCUUAGUAGCUUUACUAUUAGUUAGCAUUUUUAUUUGGAAUAGAAGUUCAUGAUCUUUAUACUUGAGUCACCUCAAGCUUAGAUAAUUUCUUGAAACCUAUGUCUUGCAUUUUAAUUUUUUUUGAAAUUCUCAAGUGUUGGUACAUUUCUUCAUACUUAAAAUUUGCAAGAGUUGUUUAAACUAGUUAUAAUGAAUUCGUAUGUAAUUAUGAAAUGAUUAACAUCCCUCUGUUCCAACUCUUAAUAUGGAUAAUCAUGAUUUGUUUUGUUAGUUUAUCAAGUUAAGGCUAUUAAGAGAAUAUAUAGGUAUCAUGUUUAAGGCAUUAAUUUCAUUCUAGAUAAUUACGUAUUCUAUUUAAUGUUGUAUGGCAAUCUAUGGGAGACUUAAGCAAAUCAUUUAGUGAUUAUUUUCAUUCAAAAUCGUGAUUGUAUCUUUGAAUAGUCUCUUGCUAAUCCUUAUCAUUUUGUUUUAUGCAUGACUCCCCUCAUGAGCCCAUCGAGACUCCUUCUUUGCAUUUCGUUUGGUUGAAACCCAACAACUCUCUCGAGUACACCUCAUCUAUCGGAGGAGGAGUCAAAGGAAGCAAAUAUAUAAAUUGAAAGCCUGCAAAAUGCAGCAACAAUGGCAAAAAAUGGGUUGCAAACCCACUUCAUAUUUUGUUGGCAGAAUUGAGCCAAAAAGCUCAAGUUUAAUUACUUGACUAUUAUGUUAUUAUGUCUUAUCUAUUCGGAUGUUUUAGUACUAACAUUUUAUCAACUUAAUUAGAUUCCCCAAAGAUGAACUAUUUUCUUUGUGUUGUUUCGAUUUAAAGGUUCAAGUAUUUUUUUUUUUCUCAAGUAAGCUUUAAAAAAAAAAGUUUUUUUUUUUACUUAGUCAUCUUCUCAAAAAGGUUAGUCAAUUAAUAAAAAAUUAUUUUCAUGCUUUAAUUAUUAAAUUGGUUUAAAUUAUUAUUUCAAAAAUAAAUUAAAUAAAUUCUAAUUAGUCUAGUUUAUUUAAUAUUCUAAUCACUUGCAAUUUAAUUCAAAUGUUUCAUUUUUUGGAUCCCUUCCUCUAAAAAAAUAAAAAAAUAAAAUGUGUCAUUUAUUUAACUUUUUUAACCAAAUAUUGUAAGUUAUUCUUUCUUAUGUUAAAUCACCUUUUCUAAAAAAUAGUCAAAAAUAUAUUUUAGUCAAGUCGCAGGUCAACCGCAUGUUAGCGGACACUUCGAAUGCUUAAACCCUUCUCGAAGUGUAAAUUGAACCCCGAACCCUCUUUGGUAUUUUCAAAUGAUUUUUCUGUUUAAAUCUUUGAAAAUUGUAAGUUUUCUUAAUUUCUUUAAAAAAUUAAGUGGCGACUCUCUUUCUAAGUAUUUUUCUUUAGUGUUUUAUACUUAGAACAUUUCAAAAAAGUGAUUUUUCUGAAUACAGUCAAAUUACGACACAACAAUUAUAAUUUAAAAAUAAUAUCAUAAAUAUCAAUAAGACAAUAUUAUAUGUUGUUAGUGUUACUACUUGUUAAUCAAAUCCACAAAUAAAAUUAUCUUUAUAAUAUUUAUUGGGUUUGAUUUCAAGUAAAAGCAUAAAUAGCUAAAUAGAAAUAUUAACCUAAUUGUUUUUCAAUGAUCAUAAUAAAAUACAAAAACUAUGACAAUAUUAAAUAGACAGCGGCCUAUGUAGUGAUUCCCUAGAAAUUUUAGGGAAUUUUUAUUUUAUGUAGUACAUAUUUUAUAAACAUAAUUUGUAUUUAAAUUGUAAUUUUUUAAACUUUAAACAUAUUUUGAGUUUAGAUUCUUGUUAUUUUUAGUACUCUAUUUUAUUUUUAUUUUUUAAUUAAUUUUUAUUUGGCCCACGGGCCGGUCCUAUCCAUAUUUCUCAAGCCCCACAAAUGGGUAGACUUAUUCAGGUCGGGCUAAAAAUUUUUUUUCUUAAAGGGGCUUCAAAAAUCAUAGCUCAGCCCUAUCAAAUCACAGGUUAGGCCAGGCCGGCCCAACGGGCCUAGCCCAUAUUGACGGCUCUAAAAAAGAGAAAUAAUUUAUUUUCACUGUUCCAAUUAAGAUUCGUAAAAACGAAAAAUAAUUGGGAGAAAUAGAAUUUAUUUUUUUUAUUCUUCAUUUUGUCGUACCUAUUUCUUGCUUCUUCUUUAAAAAUAUUGUGAUAACGUAGACCUAAGUUAAGGGGAAAAAAUUGAACUGACAAACAAUUUAUAAAUAACUAGCACCUAAGUAUUUAUAAGUAUUUGGAGCUACUAAUAAUUGAUUGUUUAUAAUGAUAAUUUCUAUGAUGAUGAAAAAUAUUAGUAAUAACACGAUAAAAUGAUAGUUAAUUUAUUAUUAUCACAUAUUAAACUACAUAGAUUAUAUUAUAAAAAAUAUUUUAACUGCAGGUAUUUAGUAGUAAAAAACUCGCUACUAAUUCUCCUCCUUUUCCUAACAAACACAAAGAUAAUCCUCAAAGUUGAAUAUUAUCUUGUUUACUCGGAUAUUUCUUAUCAAAAGCGAGGGAUUCAUUUUAAGCUAAAUCAAAUCAGAAGCUAUAUUUCUAUUCUAUCAUUAAUCGUUGCUAUUUCUGCACCCCUAUUUGGUGGUUUGAGAAAGACUCUACUAAGUGGUAACAUGACGCGUAGAGUGUUAGACUCUACUUGUGACCAAAGCUAUAACUUCAGACUAUAAGAUUCGUUGUAGUCUAGUUGGUUAGGACGCGUAGAGUCUAACACUCAUCUAAUGCUGAAAGGAAGUUAUAAGCUUUGGAUAGAAACUUUAAAAAUGAUGACAGUAACUCUAACUAUAUAUCAUUUUUACUUGGUAUUUCACUUAUCGUUCCAUCUUAUGUUGCACUAUUUUCUGAAGUAUGUUGCAAUAAUAAUGUCACUUUUUCAAAUACUUUAGCUUUAAAUUAAAUUUCUUGGUUUAUCCUUGGUGAUAUAUAUACUUUUAUAACUACAAAUAUCUCAAGGCAUGUUUAAACUACUAUACCCAAAGUCCUUAUUUCCUUUUUAGGCACCUUAUUAUCUAAGUCAAAUUAGACUAUAUUAAAAAAAAACUAGUCCUUAUUUAAUUUGUGGAGUAUAAAAAAAACAGUUUGAUGUACUAAGCUUUUACUAUAUACAAAAUUCAUGAAAGGAUCGACUUAUAGGAAUCUAUUGUACGAAAUCUCACCGUGCAUUAUUAUUUCCACAAGAGUCUAUAUAAUUUGUGAAGUAUGUCAUAUCUUAAGUCAAGAACAAAUCACAUGAGUAAAGCCCUAUAUAGUUAAAAUGUUUUAGUCAAUAACUAUCAAAUAUCACAAACCAAAAUUCAAACAAUUAAUUCUACUCAAUCUUCAAAUCUUGAAAAACUUGGAUACAAGAUCUAUAACCUUGAAAAAAUUAUCACUAUACCAAACUUAAUCAACUAAUUAAACACUAUAAAAACCUCACUAAACAAUCACUCUUAUAACCUCAAAAAAAAAAAAACUAUAGAAAGUGUUCAAGUUUCAUUUAAAUUAUAGCCAUGGCCACAAAAAACUCAUUUUACUUUCUUAUUUUCUUUCUCAUCAUUGCUUUAAACUUCAUUAAUACCUUAGCCACUUAUCAUAAUUCUGAUGAUAAUAAUACUGCAAAAUGGUUACAUAUUUGGCCAUUUGUUCCACCAUCACCACCACCACCUUCAUCAAUUGGUCAUUUUCCUAAAUUUCCAUUCACAAGAUCAUCAAUAUUUCCAUGGCCGCGGUUUUUGCCUCCUUAUUCCCCGAUUAAUAAAAAAAGUCUCGAUGACAUAAGCAUGAUCAACAGUCAGAACGUGUUGAAAAAGAAAUCAUGUGCCUCAAUCGUUGAAAAAUGUAUAUUUUGCGUUCGUCGUAGAUGUUUUUUCUCCUAUGAUUGUUGUGAGGUUGUUAGUGAAUUUGGUCAUGAGGGAUGUAACAAGUUUUAUGAAUAUGCCAUGAUUAAAAAUAAAUGUGCAAUUAGCCCAUUAGCUGCUCCUCCUCUUUCAACUUAAGAAAACUUAGUGAAAUUAUAUUAAGUUAUUAAGUGUGUAUUUAUGUGAGAAUAAAUUAAUAAAGUGAUAGACUAUAUAAUUAUCAAAUUAUGUACUUUGUUUUAUGUCUUCAUGCUAUAUAUAUAAUCAAUAAAGUGAAGUUCUUGUUUAAUACUAGAGCAUAUAUGUUAGAGUAACCUUGAAUUUUUAAUGUAACGAGUUUUUUUAUUUCUAGUUUAGCUCAUCAUUAAACUAGAAAUACAAACGGUUAUCUACAACAUUAGAAAUAAUUAGUUGUCAUAUUUACUAUAAAUAAUUAAUCCAAAAUAAUUGUUAUUUUAGAAACUAAAGAUAAAUUUUAUUAAUUUGCAUCUUUACUCUUACUCAACAAAUGUGGAGAGAGAGAGAGAGUAGUAAUAAAUUGAAAUAAAAAACAAAUAAGGAUAAUUUAUUCAAUUUACUCUUUUUAAUAGUACUCCCUAUUUUUCUUUUAAGAAGAUCGCAAAAGAGAAACAUGACAAGUAAAAUGAAUUGAAGUGACUAAAUGCACAUGUACGCCUUCUACGACAGUGAAGACCUUGUAGCUAACAUAAUAAUUUGAUGACUUGUCGCUAAAUAGGAUAAAAACGGAUUUCGUUGUUUAAUUAUAAACUUAAUAUUGAAUUGGUAUUGAACCUAAAAUAAACGUUAUAAUAAAAGUAUCGAACAAGUUUAUAAGAGGACCGUUUAUAUUUAGUUUUUUUUUUUGUUCUUCAACAAUUUUCAUAUUAUUAAUCAUGUUUUUUGACACCCACACCCAAUAAUGACAGCCAACUAUAAACAUGAAAAUGAAGUUACAAUAUUGUGAGAUAAUUAUUGUGGAGCAAUUGGUGGAAUUAUAAGCAAGGAAAAUAAUCAUUAUGUUCUAAGAAUAUUGUAAACUUCUAAAUCUUUAAUCAUUUCACAUUAACCAAAAAUAAAAUAGGUGAGGAUCGUUUAUUAACCUUUCUAAAAAUAGUAAAUUUGGGAAAUCUGAAACUUUGAAAAAAUUAUAAAUAUUAUAAUAUAAUCAUAUAAAGCACUCAUGGCCAAUGAUCGAUGAAUCCAGUGUAUUAGCACCGGGUUUAUAAGAAUUUAGUUUAUUAAUUCAUAUAUUAUUGUAUAUCAACUUGAUGUUCAUGUAGAAAUCAAUAAAAUUUAAGUUUUAGAUUCGUGUCUAACUAUGAUCUAAUGAUUAAUGAAAUAGAUUGAGAAGCAUGAAGUCUAAGAAAAAAUAUUAGGUAAUUUUUUCCUAUCCAUCCAAAUCUUAAUGAACGAUAUCAUCUAAUAUUUAUGAUGAUGAAAAAUAGCAAGUAGCCCAUAAAAAUUAAUUAAUAUAUGCGUAAACUGACUCCACUAUCACAAUUUUUAAAAAAUAUAUGGUUCAAAUAAUGAACCAUAAAACUAUUGAAAUCUUUUCUAUCUAUAAAAAAAAUUGUUAUAUUUUGCCAUAUUUGAGGAUAGAUAUUCAUUAACUAAAAAUGGACCAUAGAAAUUAGAAUUAAUAGUGGCCAAAGUCAAUGUUACAUUAUUAUCCAUAUAUGAUAUAACAAUGAUAGAGAUUGGACGGUGCAGCCUUCGAUUUUAACUUUUUUGUUAUCGAUUCAUCCCAUAUUCGAUAUUCGAUAUGAUAUUCGAGUUCUUCACUAAACUGAAUCCAUUGUCUAGUAAGUCACAUUAAAAAGAGAAAAAAAAACGCUACUUAAAAAAAGUUUCACUUUUAAAGUUUAAAAUAGAUAAAAAAAUUUAAUCAAGAAUACUGAAAUCAGAUUAAUCUCAUUACACGAAAGUCGAUUAAAAAAAUAUUAUAUUACAUUAUUGAGAAAAAGGUAUAUCUAUAAAAAGAAAAAAAGAAAGAUAUGGAACAAAGAAUUAGGAAUUAUUCCUUGAAUUGACAUCAUUAUGAUUUAUGUGGAUUAUUUGUAUCCCUUCUUCUUGGGGAAUCUCAUUCCUUCUCCAAUAUUCUUAAAAUGUAAGAGUAUUUUAAUUAGUCAAGAUUCUUAUUGAAAAUAUAAAAAAGAUGGCUCUUUUUUCUUAUUAUAAAUAGUGUGUAUUAAUCGAGGCACAUACAAAUAGGUAUUAAUUUAAAGGGAUAAGGGUCUAAAAAAUACCCAAUUUUGGUCGGAUUUGCUGUUGCGAUACUAAACUUUCAUGAGGAACUAUUACCUUCCUAGACUAUCUAAUACCGUAUUUUAAACAUAUAUAUUU